GGCAAAUCUCAGGUGACGCACCCCGGAAUCGGACUCCCUCCUCUCUGGUUCCGGGCAUGUCACCCGAGAACCGCA
rfam:Myotis davidii contig194784, whole genome shotgun sequence.